CAUAAAGAUCAGCUAAAUAAGCUACUGGGUUCAUACCCCAUUUAUAAAGGUUUUAACCCUUUUUUUAUGA
rnacentral:tRNA from 1 species